rnacentral:misc_RNA from 1 species
CAUCUGCUGUCUGUUGCAACUCCAAUGCGAACUCAAGCUUUUCCAUCACAUCAUGCAUUGAGGGCCGUUCAAUCCCCUGCUCACGGACGCAGCUCUCUGCAAUCUCCACAAAUUUCUGAAAACACACUGGAGCUAUUUUUCCUAUUAGAUGGGGAUCAAUUAUUAGAUGAAUAUUCUCAUUUUGGAUGCAUUUUCGUGCCCAACUGACUAAAUUCCAUUGUUCCUCCUCCAAUUUUUGGUUAAGAGGUUUUCGAGCGCACAAUACUUCCAAUAACACCACACCAAAUGAGUACACAUCAGAUUUUUCUGUCAACUGAUGGCGUCUUGCAUAUUCUGGAUCCAGAUAUCCCCAUGUACCCUUUACAAUGG